rnacentral:rRNA from 1 species
GAUGAACGCUAGCGACAGGCCUAACACAUGCAAGUCGAGGGGCAGCAUGAAAUUAGCUUGCUAAUUUUGAUGGCGACCGGCGCACGGGUGAGUAACACGUAUGCAACCUGCCUGUAAGCGGGGGAUAUCUCGGAGAAAUUCGGCCUACUACCGCAUAAUAUAAUCGAAUCGCAUGUUUUGAUGAUUAAAAAUUGACUGCUUACAGAUGGGCAUGCGUAGGAUUAGCUAGUUGGCGGGGUAACGGCCCACCAAGGCGACGAUCAUUAGGGGUUCUGAGAAGAAGGUACCCCACAUUGGAACUGAGACACGGUCCAAACUCCUACGGAAGGCAGCAGUGAGGAAUAUUGGUCAAUGGACGCAAGUCUGAACCAGCCAUGCCGAGUGAAGGAUGACUGUCCUAUGGAUUGUAAACUUCUUUUAUAUGGGGAUAAAGUGUGAGACUUGUCUCAUUUUGCAUGUACCAUAUGAAUAAGCAUCGGCUAACUCCGUGCCAGCAGCCGCAGUAACAC